CAUUUAUUAAUAUGGAGUGUUAUUUACUCAAACUAGGGCUCUCAUAGGCGUUGAGUGGAUAGAUAGUUUUGUGUGUGCUAGAUACAUCAGUUUACUUGAAAAGAUUGGAAAUAAAUAACAGGAAAUUGGUUGGUGCUUAGAUAAUUAUUGGAAAGCAAAAAAUAAAACUAAGCUAGGAAAAUAAUAAGAAUCCUUUAUUCUCUGCUUCCACUCAGGGUGAAUCAGGACCAGUGCAAUAAAUCACCCUCAAUACUUCCUGUGAAUGGCAACUGCUGAAGGGAAGCUUCUGCCUCUCAUCAUACACUGCCUCAGGGGGGAACAAAAUAGAUCAUUACAAUGGAGGCCAAAGAGUGCUUGAAUGUCUCUGCCGAAGGCUUUCAAUAAAUAUUUGUUGAAAAAGAAAGGAAGAAAGAAAAUGAAGAAGGAACGAAGGAGGAAAGGAAAGAAGGAAAGAAGGAAGGAAGGAGUUAAUGAAGACUCAAGGAUGUUCUGCUCUGAUUGGCAGGGAGAGUUUGAAGGUGGGUUGGCAGAGACUGUGACCGCAACUGACUGCGUUCUGCAGAAUUAUGGUAAUGAAAUUGGAAGCCAACUUUCGUGAAGCAGAAAGCCUCAAGUUUCCAGGUGCUGUGCUCAGUCCAGGAAUACAAUGAUGAAUACGAUCAAGGCCCUUUCAGAGCUGACACACACUAUACAUAAUGCAUCAAAAAUUGCGUUCUCGCUAUAUUUCUGUUUAUUUGGUUUUAUCUGCAAGAAUAUAGAUAGCAUCUGCUUUGAUAUAAAACUUUUAUGUGUCUUAUGUAGUUGAUUUGUAAAUGUCCUAUCUAUAAAUAUAAAACAAUAAAUUACUAGUUACAGUUAACUUAGGAAAACUUUUAAUCAUGUCCUACAUUUUACACCUUGUAAUUUCUACCAAAUGUUUGUAUUUUUAUGUCUUAUUAAAUAUAAUAAAUAUUUGUCUUAACAUAUUUUAAUAGAAUUCCUCAUAUGUUUUGCAGAAAGCUAAUUAUGGUUUUC
rnacentral:lncRNA from 1 species